UACAUGUGGGGCAAGCGUUGUUCGGAAUUACUGGGCAUAAAGGGUGCGUAGGUGGCUUGUUAAGUCAGGGGUGAAAGUUUUCGGCCCAACCGGAAAAUGGCCUUUGAUACUGGCGAGCUCGAGUGCGUGAGGGGUAACCGGAACGAGCAGUGUAGCGGUGAAAUGCGUAGAUAUUGCUCGGAAGGCCAACGGUGAAGGCAGGUUACUGGUGCGCAACUGACACUGAGGCACGAAAGCGUGGGGAGCAAACAGG
rnacentral:rRNA from 1 species